rnacentral:tRNA from 2 species
CGGGACGUGGCGCAGUCUGGUAGCGCACCGGUCUGGGGGACCGGGGGUCGCGGGUUCAAGUCCCGCCGUCCCGA